UACGUAGGGUGCAAGCGUUGUCCGGAAUUAUUGGGCGUAAAGAGCUCGUAGGCGGUCUGUCGCGUCGGCUGUGAAAACCCGAGGCUCAACUUCGGGCUUGCAUUCGAUACGGGCAGGCUCGAGUUCGGUAGGAGAGUGGAAUUCCUGGUGUAGCGGUGAAAUGCGCAGAUAUCAGGAAGAACACCCGUGGCGAAGGCGGCUCUCUGGUACGUGACUGACGCUGAGACGCGAAAGCGUGGGGAGCAAACAGG
rnacentral:rRNA from 1 species